GUCCAUAAUUAAAAAUCAAAGUAAUAAAGUGACAUUCUCAAAUUUGAAUACUGGGUACAGAAAGUGUAAUUGCCAGGCCUCCUUGCCAAACAAGCAGAGUGGCUCCAACAUUAAGUCACAAAGAUUUUCAAGAGUGACUUGAUGGGAUUUUAAAAAAGUGCACACAUUUAAUUUUAUUAGAACAAGUUUUAGAACUUUGAGACAAGCUGCAAACACUGAAUUACAAUUUUUUGCUUUUAUUUAUUGGGAACUCAUUUAACAACUGCCUCUGUCUGAUAUCCAAGUAGAUAUAGAAUGGUGUGACGGUCUGAACAGGGAAUGUCAUGGAACUUUCCUGAGUUUAAGGUGCUUUUUUCCCCCAAGGAAAUAGAAAAGUGAAGGUAUUAUGGAAGCUUUUAACAGCCCAGUGAGCAACACCCAGUGGCGGCUUUCAUAUAAGACAGCAGGUGACCAAGUAAAUUGUGACCCCCUGCAAUGAACUUGCAGUCAGUUUAGUUUACAAUGUCAUUCCCUUCCCUACCACAGGAAAAACAAAAUAGCAUUCAACAAUUUUUUCCCUAGACCUCCAAUAUCUCCAAACAGUAGAAGGAAUAAACAUUUCCCAUUUCAUCAACAGAUUUACCCAUAAUAAAUUAGAUUUUGUUAAGUCUUUGUGAUUUUUUUCCCUAGAAUAUUCCUGAUGGGAUAAAAUGGAGUUCUGAAAAUAAAUGGUUUAGCCACAGAUGUUAUUGAAAUUAAUUUUAAGAAGGAGUUGGGACUGCUGGAUACCCUCUAACCCAAAUCUCCAUCAUCUAGAAGUCAUAUUUAUUUAUCAAGUGUGAUGUCUUUUUAGUAACUUACCUCAGUGUAGGAGAAGAAGAGUUAGAGGUGCUCCCAUUGUAUUUUUUUAACUGUAAUGCUGGGAAAAUGAUUUUAUUGAGCCAUGUGAUAUCACGGUUAGAACUGUUUUUUAUUUCAGACAGGGAAUCUGUAUUAAAAAUAACACAGUUUCAUGUCCUUCCUUCUGUAUUUUCUCCUAGCAGCAGGGAAAAAACACAUUCCCUAAUAUAUUUUCUGGGUGCACUCUCUGUGUAAUAUUUCCUUUGCAAAGGUCCUGUUCAUAUUUGUAUCUUAUUACUUUUCUUAUACUGGAUUUAUUGAUAGCUUCUAACAAAAAUAUGAUUUCGGUAUAUUUACUGAACAAAACUCAAUAGAACAGACCCCAACUCAAUUUUUUUCAUCAAAAUGGAGAACAAUAAAGAAGCUAAAGUCCUCAGUUCAGACACAUAGCAUCAAAAAACUUAUAUUGUUUAAAGAGAUAACUCAAUAAGGGGGAAGUGAUAGAUAUUACUUAAGAAACAACAUUAACUUUGUUUAUUUAUCUACGUUUCUAAUAAUCCCUCCUCUAACUUAGUAAGCAACAAAUAUUGUUGGUGUUCCUUGGUUAUCGAAUGUCACAUAAAUGCAUUCAUUUUCUAAAAAUAGGGGGAAAAUGGUGGUUAUACAUUGCGAGAUAUCCAAGGUCCUUACUUACUGUUAAUCGCCAUUUCAUGCAUUCAAAUUGAAUUUAAAGGAAUUUUUAAAAACCUCACUGAGUCUGUUUCCCAGAUUAUUUUGCUAUCGUGCCAGUAUUUUUCAUAAGUUAAUCGUGUUUCUGCUUUUGCAUGUUUACGGGGAGCUUGUAUCCUGAAUUUCUAAUGUCCUGCUUUUGAAGACCGAUUACAGAGGGCCUUCUUCAUUGACCAUUAGACUGGCAGGAGACUAACUCUGCUUUGAGUCAGGGCUUCUCUGCUCUGCGGUGUAUAAGAAUGCCAAAUGACUUGCAGCACCUGAGAUAAGAUCCUUGUUUGCCUCCUAGUGAAAUUUGGUCUUUGAUGGCCAUUUUCAUAUUAAUCGCAUGCUGGCAUAUAUUCUUAAACAAAGCUUGUGUUCUCAUUGCUGAAAAGAACACUGCUUUCCUGAAACGCCUUUCCUCCUCAUUUCUCUCAGAAGGUUGCCAUGGCAAAAGUGGGCUCUCUACUGCUCUGAAACACUGCAAUAUAAUCACCAAAUGAAAUAAUUGUCUUAAAGAAAUGCAUGCUAUUUACCUACUGGCUUCUUACAAACCCUAAUUACAACAAUGGUUGUGUGAUGGCUUUUAAAUGUUUUCUAUUGUUUAGCGUAAUAAAUCUCUGCUUUAUGUAAUCUUGCUAAAUUGAGUGCAGUCCUUCUCAAUAUUAUUUUAUCCAGUCAUUCGGGCUUGUAUCUAAAUGCCUCGUCAACCUUUGCAGUGACUAAAUAAUUAAAUGCUCUCUAUUGACUUGUUGACAUUUCACUACUUAUGGCAGGUGUAGAUUCAAAAGAGAAAUGCAAUCAUUCUCCAAAGUCAACUUUUUUUUUUUCCUGAAGGCUUUUACACACGGAUAAAACAACCAGAAGAAAUCCUCAGGCAAGAAUACCUUCAAUAUCUCCCUGUGAUUUUUGUCGAUCAGACUCGGUUACAACAAAAUAAGAUAAACUCUGGCAAACAGGAUUUGUUGUGGUCAAACAAUCAGUAGCACUUAAAAAUCAAGAUUUCCCUAGAGAUUCACUGAGGACUAAGCACAUAAAAACUUUCAUCAUUUUUAUGCCACAGCCAGCGAGUUUUCAGAGGAAGGGCAAAAUUUUUCACUGUGUGCUUCUAAGCAAAUAAAAUAUUUCGGGAAAAUUGUAAGUGUAAAGAAAUAGCCAUACAAAUAGAUAUAUAACCUUGGUAAUGAUACUCAGACAAGCUAAUAAAAUAAUAUUAUUUACUAUGGAAAUAAAAUUAAGGUCCUAAAAAAUUUAAAUGCAAUUUUAGACUCAUUACCUUGACCUUCCUUAAAACACAGUAAAUGAGGAUGUAAUAAUCAAGUAGUUUCUUUUUAAAUGAAAGAGCAAAACUUGCAUUAAAAGAGGAGAGAAGGGAAUAGAGACAUAUUUUAUAAUGUCUGGUAGAGGUUUAAAAAAAAACUUCAUUUCCAGGAAAUUUUUUUCAUAUUUCACAUC